AGUGAACGCUGGCGGCGUGCUUAACACAUGCAAGUCGAACGAGAACGGAUUAUAGCUUGCUAUAAUUGUCAGCUAAGUGGCGCACGGGUGAGUAAUGUAUAGGUAAUAUGCCUCUUACUAAGGGAUAACAAAUGGAAACGUUUGCUAAUACCUUAUACUCCUUAUUAACAUAAGUUAAUAAGGGAAAGAUUUAUUGGUAAGAGAUUAGCCUGUAUUGUAUCAGUUAGUUGGUGGGGUAAUGGCUUACCAAGACUAUGACACAUAACUGGUUUGAGAGGAUGCUCAGUCACACUGGAACUGAGACACGGUCCAGACUCCUACGGGAGGCAGCAGUGGGGAAUAUUGCACAAUGGACGAAAGUCUGAUGCAGCAACGCCGCGUGGAGGAUGACACAUUUCGGUGCGUAAACUCCUUUUAUAUGAGAAGAUAAUGACGGUAUUAUACGAAUAAGCACCGGCUAACUCCGUGCCAGCCGCCGCAGUAA
rnacentral:rRNA from 1 species